CCCCCCGAGCACGAUGCCGCGCAGGAAUGUGAAAGGCGCGCGCCCGCCGCCAUUUUCUCUCUUUCUUGGCAGACAGCGGCAGCGGCCGGAGCGGCGCCGCGGAGGCCAUGGCCGACUAUUCCACGGUGCCCCCUCCUGCCGCGGGCGCGCCCGGGGGAGGUGGCGGCGGGGCUGGAGGAGUGAACGAUGCCUUUAAAGACGCGCUGCAGAGGGCUAGGCAGAUUGCAGCGAAAAUUGGAGGAGAUGCUGGCACAGCAAUGAAUUCAAACGACUACGGUUACGGAGGGCAGAAAAGACCUCUUGAGGAUGGAGAUCAACCAGAUGCUAAGAAAGUUGCUCCCCAGAAUGACUCUUUUGGAAAUCAGCUACCACCGAUGCAUCAGCAGCAAAGGUCUGUGAUGACAGAGGAAUACAAAGUUCCAGAUGGGAUGGUUGGAUUCAUAAUUGGCAGAGGUGGAGAGCAGAUCUCACGCAUACAGCAAGAGUCUGGCUGUAAAAUACAGAUUGCACCUGAUAGUGGAGGCCUGCCUGAAAGAUCAUGUAUGCUGACUGGAACACCAGAGUCUGUUCAGUCAGCAAAAAGAUUGCUUGAUCAGAUAGUUGAAAAGGGAAGACCUGCACCUGGAUUUCAUCAUGGUGAUGGACCUGGAAAUGCAGUCCAAGAAAUUAUGAUUCCAGCAAGUAAAGCAGGAUUAGUUAUUGGGAAAGGUGGAGAGACAAUUAAACAAUUACAGGAGCGGGCAGGUGUCAAAAUGGUCAUGAUUCAAGAUGGUCCACAGAACACUGGUGCAGACAAGCCCCUUAGGAUAACUGGAGACCCUUAUAAAGUUCAGCAAGCCAAGGAAAUGGUGCUGGAGUUAAUUCGCGAUCAAGGUGGCUUUAGAGAGGUGCGCAACGAAUAUGGGUCAAGAAUAGGAGGAAAUGAAGGGAUAGACGUUCCAAUACCACGAUUUGCUGUAGGUAUUGUAAUUGGAAGAAAUGGAGAGAUGAUUAAAAAGAUUCAGAAUGAUGCUGGUGUUAGGAUCCAGUUCAAGCCAGAUGAUGGAACAACUCCAGAUAGAAUAGCCCAGAUCACAGGGCCUCCUGACAGAUGUCAGCAUGCUGCAGAAAUUAUUACUGAUCUCCUUCGCAGUGUUCAGGCUGGUAACCCUGGUGGACCAGGACCUGGUGGUCGAGGAAGGGGUAGAGGCCAAGGCAACUGGAACAUGGGGCCUCCUGGUGGAUUACAGGAGUUCAAUUUUAUUGUCCCUACUGGCAAAACUGGAUUAAUCAUUGGAAAAGGUGGUGAAACUAUUAAAAGUAUAAGUCAACAGUCUGGUGCUAGAAUAGAACUUCAGAGAAAUCCUCCACCUAAUGCAGAUCCAAACAUGAAGAUGUUUACUAUCCGUGGAACACCCCAGCAAAUAGAUUAUGCACGACAACUUAUAGAAGAAAAGAUUGGAGGUCCAGUGAACCCAUUGGGUCCACCUGUUCCCCAUGGUCCCCAUGGUGUUGUUCCUGGCCCGCAUGGACCUCCUGGGCCACCAGGUCCUGGUGCUCCUAUGGGACCAUAUAAUCCAGCUCCUUAUAACCCAGGCCCUCCUGGUCCUGCACCUCAUGGUCCUCCAGCUCCAUAUGCUCCACAGGGAUGGGGAAAUGCUUAUCCACACUGGCAGCCACCAAACCCACCAGACCCAGGUAAGCCAGGAACAGAUCCCAAUUCAGCUGCGUGGGCAGCUUAUUAUGCUCACUAUUAUCAGCAGCAAGCACAGCCACCACCUGCAGCCCCUCCUGGUGGACCAGCUACAACCCAAACCAAUGGACAAGGAGAUCAGCCAAAUCCAGCACCAGCAGGGCAGGUUGACUAUACCAAGGCCUGGGAGGAGUACUACAAAAAAAUGGGUCAAGCUGUUCCUGCCCCUGCUGGGGCUCCUCCGGGCGGGCAGCCAGAUUACAGCGCGGCGUGGGCCGAGUACUACCGGCAGCAGGCAGCGUACUACGCUCAGACGAGUCCACAGGGAAUGCCACAGCACCCUCCAGCACCACAGUGCAGGUUUGAUCCAGCCAGUAUAGAACUAGCUCUAUAGGGGUGAGGAGGACUGUGCUGUGUAUCAUCCUUGAUUGUUCCUUCAAGGAGCAUUGCACUUGCCUUCCCAGACCUUCCACCUUAGGUUCUGCUGCAAAAAAGCAACAGGUAAGCACAACCUAAGGAAGUAUAUAAAUUAAUAUAUUUCAGUACAUUAAUGUUGUCCCUGUGAGAUCUUUGUGGUUGUGUAUUGAAAAGCAAUCUGCUGCUUCCCCAAAUGCAUUGUUACUCACGGUUCCAUUUGAGUGGAAAAUCUUAAGUUUUUAAACAACUGUUUAUAUUUCUAGGUCAAUAUGUAUUUUUUUUCUUUUUUCUUUUUUUUUUUUAGAGAAGAUUAUUAGAUUGCAGUAAUUGAACUUGAUCAGAAGAAGUAAUUUUUGUUAUUUUACCCAAAUAGAUAAUUGUUGCAAUUAAAGAAUCAAAACCUUUAAAAUGUGCAGGAAUUGCUUUGGUUAGAAAUGUCAACAGCCUUCACAAAUGUUUUUUUUCUAUAAUAGGGCACUAUUCCCACUUAAUCCUUAAGAUCUAAAUGUAAAGAAUGACUUCUUGUUGUUAUCACUGAACUUGAUAACUUGUCUUACAGUUAUAGUGUGUUAGUGGAGUUUGCUUAUACAUACUUGACAUGGUAGGAAAAGAGCUUGGAGUUUGAGAUGAGUAUGAUUUAACUGAAAAAGCAUGAGCACCAAUUAACAGUACAGCAAAUAAUAUUUUAUCACUAUAGCAGUCAGUGUAUGCUGUUGCUUGAUAUUUUUAACUGAAUUGCUGAAUAUUUUGAUAGUAUAAAAUGUUAAAUGUUUUACAGAUGGUCUGGUACAGGUUUUUAUUCUGAGCUUUUGUUGUUGGUUUUUUUAGCUUAACAUAAAGCAGCAUCUGUUUGGUUUUUUUGUUCAUUAUUCUGGUUCUAAAAUGUGCUGCUCCUCUUUCAAAAGUCCUGCUUAUCUGUACAUCAAAGAAAAAUAUUCAAAAAUACUGCCUUCAUUUUCACACACAGUGCUGAAGAUGCUGCAAGCACCAAAUCAUAGCUCAUAGAAUCAGGUCCUGAGAUAGUUACUACCAGUAAAGAGGAAUCCUUUGAGUGUAUGCCAUUGGUGAGCCGAUGAGCAUGGACCGUAGAAGGGCUCCAUGUAGAAGGUAAAAUUGGCAAAAGCAUAACAGAUUUGAAAUGUAUCCCAUACAUAAUGAUACAGGGUAUAAUUUUUGUUUUGAUCACUUUUCAUUCUUUAAAGUAUUCUUUGUUUGACCAUUAAUGUUCCAUAAUCUGUUAAAGUUUUUUUAACUGUGAUUUAAUAAUAUAAACCAUCUAUUUUACUUUAUAUUCUUCUAAACAGUCAAGCUAAUUUUUGAACUGAAUUAAUAGUUGUGCUUCAGUUUCUCAAGCCACUUAGUAUUUCAUCUGUAGCUUAACAUGUAACUUUAUUUUUGACGUGAGAAGAGGGUAGGUGUGUGUACCAUUUGGAUUUUGAUACUGUGGAUUUAGUGUGGGGGUGAGUCAUUUGUUCACUUCCUUUUUCAUGGUACUUUUUCCUUCAACUGUUACUAUUAAAAUACCUUGAACAGUCUUUCAGUUGCUAAUUUAGCCUGUGGGAGGAGAUAGAGAAGAAAAAGCCAGUGUAUUGGGAUGUUGCUAGUGUGUGGAAGGUGAGAUGUCCUUCUGUGUAGCAUUUUGGGUGUAUUGGCUUCCAGCUUUCUCACUGCAGGGCUUACAGGCAUGCUGGUUUGUGCAGAGCAUGUGUUCCUUUUUCAACUCUUGUCUUCAAACUCAGAGUUCCUGGGACAACAGUAGCUUAUUGGAGUUACCCCAGUAGCCAAAAAGAUAACUGAACUUGCUUAGAAAUGUAGGGAACUUAUCCAAAAGGUGUCUUGAAAUGUUUCCUGCUUACUGCACCCAUCACUGCUUAGUGUCCCACAAUGAAUGUGAAGAGUAAGAAAAGUUUUAAAAGCAAGCAUAAUGUUCCAAGUAGGAAAAGAAUUUUCAUAUCACUUUCUGCAGCCUGUACUUUAUUAGGACAUGGAAUAAAAUACCAGGUGGAUGCUCUUUAGUAUGGCUUAAUUACUACGUCAUCUGUUUCACUUGUCAGGCAGACAGGGUCACGAUUCACUUGCACAGCCUAUCUUGAAGUAUUUCAUCUUUAUACUAGUGAUAUUUUAUUGGAUGGUAGAAACUGUUUCUCCCCAUUUCUUUUCCAAAGUAAUUCUUAAGUUUUCCAUUGCAUGCUAAAAGCUUUUCCAUUUUGCUUUUUUUCCGGAAGUGGUGGGAGGAAGGGAGGACUGGGCUUUUCAGAAAGCAUACAGUUGACAGGAUUCCCUCUUCCCUAGUAAUAGCUUAUGAAACUCUUGUGUAUGCACAAAUAUUUCUCUUGCGUGCAUGUGAAAUGCCUUUUCGUCCUGAGAAAAGUGUUCUCUGCAGAAACUACCCGUGUGUAAACAGAAGAUUGGCUUUAAAAGGCAACUGUGAUGGGAACAGUGUCUUAGGGAGAUGCAGCUUGGACUUGAGGUAAAUUGAAUGCUUUACAAAAAUGUGGUUUUGAGCUUGCAUUGACAUUGUAUGUAAUAUGGGUACACAUUAACUGUAUAAUGGUUUUUGUAUGGUUUUUCUCAAUAAAUGUAAACUGAUGAAUAAUAA